CCAAAUUGAACCUCUGAGGGGCCCAGGAAAACCCAGUGCCCAAAGAACCCACCAUCUUUCUCCAGUGGCAUCUGCAGCUCCAAAGACGGGGCUGGACCCGGUCCAAGCUAGGCCCCAGCACUAUCAGCGGACACUUCUUCCAGUGGCCCUGGAGAGAAGGGAGCAGAGGAAGGAUAAGCUGGCUUUGGACAAACGUGUGGACUCAACAUUUGCAAGCUCUGCACCUGACCAGAAGUCAGGACUGGGAGACAGACAGCUCUCCCUGGCUAAGGCUGGGAUCAGCAGCUGGGGUAGGAACGGUGGGUGGUGAUGGAGAUCCUUUGUGAGUAUUCCCUUAACAAGGAAGCCCCAGAGAUGAGUCUCAGAGAGCAGAAGUUCAGUGGAUUCACUGUCCCAGUGCCCAGACCUCUGCUCAGCCCCAGCACCAGCACUCGCCCUGGGUCAGAGGCACAAAAGACUCUGCUGGUGUGUGUUUGAGGGAAACAAAAGCAACAUUAUUGAACUACAGGUGAGAUUGUCUCAGCAGAAAAGGAGGCCCCACGGAGGCGUCAAGAAAAUUGUUGCCUUCAAGAGCCCCAGAAAAGGCGGCCUUCAGACACCCAGGGCUCCCCUUAAGAAAGCCAGGGAUUGGAAUGGGAAGUGGACAGGGGGCGCCCUUGGGCCGCCUGUACCUGCUCCUAGGCACCAGGCAAUCCUUCCACACACACUGGAGUCAUGGCAGAAGGAAAGGAGGUCAGCAAUUCCAAGAUGCAAGUCCAUGUCCUGUGUUGGAACUAUGCAGUGGCGGGGCUGCAUCCAAAUGAAGAUUCCUAGGCCACUGUCAUUUGCUAUGGGCCUAGGAUCUGCCUUUUAAACAAAUAUGUACGGUCUUCACAUGCCUUGCCUAUGUUGGCAAGGAGAUGAGGUGCCAUUUCCUCUGUAAAGCUCUCUAAGCCUGAUCACAUCCAGAGCUGGUCCUUCUGCCCUCGGACAAUAACAUGCCAGCCCUGGGAAGGGUUUUCAGAACAAAGGCAUGCUGUUGUCUUCCAAAUGUGUGUUAGAAGAUGGAGCCCCGGCCUUCCUCUGACACCUAGAGUGGGGAAGAGUCACGUCUUUAAACACAGUGUCACUACUUGUGCAUCUGUGCCUGGACCCAGGUGCCAGAAUGUGAAGCCUAAGAGGUGGCUAGGAAGACAAGCACAUUUCAUAUAGGAGUCCUGAGUCAUGCUCAGGGGGGGGAACACGUGGCAUAAACCGCAACCAGAGUCUGAAAUGCCACCAUUGCCACUCCAUUCUCUGCAAAAUUGUAACUCUGAGGGAAGAAGAAGGGCAUAAUAAAUUAGAGUGAUGCCUGGUAUUCUCACCUUCACAGGAACUAUUUCAUCAACAGACUUUCCAAGAGGCCUCAAGACGCACAGCAGGUGCAUCUUAAAGGAAGAUAAAUGAAGACAGAGGGAGCCUGCCUUGCCACAAGGGUGGGGGACAUGAGAGAGCCCCUCAGCAGAGAAAACUUAGUGAGCUCAGAGAUAGGAGGGCCCUCUGGAUGGGACGAAGGGAGCUUUGAGUGUCAGAAACAUAUAGCCAAGGUCAGCAGAGUUGGCCUCACUUUCCUCAGCGCCUGCUGUAUAAUCUUUCUGAGACAAUGUGGAUCGAAAAGUAACCCCUUAAAAUAUUGCUGAAAGCAGGCUCUAGAGGCAAUCGUAAGUUACCUGGAUCCCUGCAUUGCCAUUGUCAGACAUGCUUGCUCUUUUCAAAGUUAAUGCCAAAAUAGGAGAUGCCUCUGGGUCCACCCAUGUGGUACAAUACAGGCAGAAGCACAGAGAACACAAGCCAGUGAGUACAUAGAGUGUCGGCAAAGUGAGGCAUUUCUGGAAAGCCAGAGAAAUUUAUCUUAACUCAGGAGAGAAUCUUUCCCUUUGCCUCUUAACUAAAGAGCUUUCUAGUGAUAAAAGAAAGUUUCCUAUGUUCAAUAAUAAUGUGACAAAUUAAAAGGACAUUGUCAACGAUUGUUAAGGUAAUUGUAGUAAAAGUCAACAAAGGAUGGAAAUAAAGUCAAUAUAAUUCUCUGCCUGAAAAUAUAAAUGUUCUUGAGAUGAUUUAUUUGCCCAUAUAUUACUUUCAUGCACUCAUUUUUCCUUUUUUCAUUGCACAGACUUUAAAAUUAGGGUCAUUUGUCUAAACAGAAUAAGAAUUGAAGUGCUCAGGUGUUUUUAGAUAUUAAAAUCUUUAUAUCUUUGAAAUCAUUAAAGAUAUGGAAUUUUUAUAUAUUGAAAAUAUGCAUUUAAAACAUCUAAGGCUGUUGACAUGAAGGAGAAUUGGCUUUUGGCUUAGGGGGCCAGAAUUUGCUAGGCAGUUCCAGUUGGUCCUGUAAAUGAUGCAAGAAACAAAGGCCUUCCACCAAGGAAGGAAAAGGCACCAGAGGAGCCAAUUUUGUUUGCCUCUGUGCAUGGAGGCAAGAAGUCAGUUCAGGAUCUGCCCUAUCUUAUCCGCCCCAUCUUAUCAGGUGGUAAAUCUGUCCUUUGAUCUUGUCAACAAUGUGGAAAGUGGAGGCAGCUGCCACCACCCCAGUCAGCAGUGCCUCACCAGGCCCUCAUAAAACAUCUAUGAGACCUGUAAUAAAUGGGCCUGAUAAGGAAGAGGGCUCAAGAUUGCAGAAGUCAGCAGCUCCACAGAAAAUGCUCUUUUCUACCUCCAAGGUUCCUUUAUUUGAAGAGCAAACACAAACCAUCAAUUCCCACUGACCAUAAAGUUUCUGAGCAAAGAGUUUCACCAAGCCCUGAGAUUAGCAGAAUGUGUUUGGAUUCUUACCCAUAUUCGCAAGGCACCUCCCCACCCCCUGCCCGAAAUUCUCAGCGUUGAUAUGGGCACAGAGGGCCUAGGGCAAGACAAAGAGCUAGGGCAAGUGUGACAAUAAAAAUUCAGUUGGGCAGAAAUAGUCAUUUGAUGCCCCAAAGUAAACUAAUAUCCUAUAUUUAAGUUCAGAGAAGAGAAGUAGGAGUAAAAUUUUAAUAGUACUUCAUAAUAUACUAUUACUGUAUAAUAUAGUACAGUAUAUUUUCCAAAUAUAACUUUGGAAAUAUUUAUUUUAACUUCUGCUGUAUUUUCUGGGGAAUUAAUGAAUUCCUAACUAUACUUCCACUGUCUGGGAAUCUCCUUAGUUGACUUUCCUGAAUAGAUGUCAGAGGAGUUAAGUUCAUCAACCCAGAGGUCUUAGAAGAAAAGGAAGGAAGGAAGGAAGGAAGGAGAGAGAGAGAGAGAAAAAGGAAGGAAGGAAGGAAGAAAGAAGGAAGGAAAGAAAAGGUAUUUGUUGAAUGACUGCUGAUGAAAGCAAGAAUGAAGGAUGCCACAGGCACACAUGCAAAGAUAAACAGUAACUUGAGCAGCGGCAGAAACAAGCAAGAGGAAACUUCACACACCAUACAGAGACACUUUUACUUAGUAGGUUGCAUUAAGAUAAUAAAAGAGAACAAAGCCAAAUAAUAAUAGAAUAAUAGAAUUGACUUGGGGGAGAAAGUCCAGGUCUUUCUUCUCUCCUGCCCCUGCCAACUGUAGCCAAGUAAGAAAGAGAAGGACAAUCAGGGUGGGUAAAUGUGUGAAAGUGCCCAGGCUGAGCAGCUCCCUUGCAUGAAAGGCCCUCUCCUACGCGUGCCCAGGUUAGCC
ensembl:lncRNA